AUUCCAGCUCCAAUAGCGUAUAUUAAAGUUGUUGCAGUUAAAAAGCUCGUAGUUGGAUUUCUGGCAGGAGCGACCGGUCACACACUCUGUGUGUGAACUUGUGUUGUCUCUGGCCAUCCUUGGGAAGAUCCUGUUUGGCAUUAAGUUGUCGGGCAGGGGAUACCCAUCGUUUACUGUGAAAAAAUUAGAGUGUUUAAAGCAGGCUUAUGCCGUUGAAUAUAUUAGCAUGGAAUAAUAAGAUAGGACUUCGGAACUAUUUUGUUGGUUUGCGUUACGAAGUAAUGAUUAAUAGGGACAGUUGGGGGUAUUCGUAUUUCGUUGUCAGAGGUGAAAUUCUUGGAUUUCCGAAAGACGAACUACUGCGAAAGCAUUUACCAAGGAUGUUUUCAUUA
rnacentral:rRNA from 1 species